rnacentral:rRNA from 1 species
CGGAAUGAGUACACUUUAAAUCCUUUAACGAGGAUCUACUGGAGGGCAAGUCUGGUGCCAGCAGCCGCGGUAAUUCCAGCUCCAGUAGCGUAUAUUAAUGCUGCUGCAGUUAAAAAGCUCGUAGUCGUAUCUAGGGUACGGGCGGAGGGUCCCUCGUAAGGGGUGUACUCUGCGACUCGUCCUCCCUCGCGGUUAGACGCCCGGUUCUCUUAACUGAGUGCCGGGUGCGGCCGGAACGUUUACUUUGAAAAAAUUGGAGUGUUCAACGCAGGCGUAUCAGCCUGGACAGUAGAGCAUGGAAUAAUGGAAUAGGAUCUCGGUUCUAUUGCGUUGGUUUUAAGAACUCGAGGUAAUGAUUGAGAGGGACUGACGGGGGCAUUCGUAUUGCGGUGUGAGAGGUGAAAUUCUAGGAUCGCCGCAAGACGACCGGUAGCGAAAGCGUUUGCCAAGAAUGUCUUCAUUGAUCAAGAACGAAAGUUAGAGGUUCGAAGGCGAUCAGAUACCGCCCUAGUUCUAACCAUAAACUAUGCCGACCGGCGAUUCGCCGGCGUUAUAUCAACGACACGGCAAGCAGCUUCCGGGAAACCAAAGUUUUUGGGUUCCGGGGGAAGUAUGGUUGCAAAGCUGAAACUUAAAGGAAUUGACGGAAGGGCACCACCAGGAGUGGAGCCUGCGGCUUAAUUUGACUCAACACGGGAAAACUCACCCGGCCCGGACACAGUAAGGAUUGACAGAUUGAGAGCUCUUUCUUGAUUCUGUGGGGUGGUGGUGCAUGGCCCGUUCUUAGUUGGUGGAAUUGAUUUGUCUGGUUAAUUCCAAUAACGAACGAGACUCUGGCUUGCUAAAUAGUUGCGCCACCCGCCCAAGGUGGGCGACAACUUCUUAGAGGGACUAGUGGC